rnacentral:misc_RNA from 1 species
ACAGUGUGAGGGCUACGAUUUCGAGGUACAAAAAAGCAUGUUCGGAUCCCUCCAGCACCGUAUCGGUUUCGGAAGCCAAUACUCAGUUCUACCAGCAAGAAUCCGCCAAAUUGCGAGCUCAAAUCGGGAAUUUGCAAAACCUAAACAGGCAUUUGUUGGGAGAAUCGAUUAGUUCGUUGUCCGUUAAAGAUCUGAAAAGCCUGGAGAUCAAACUGGAGAAAGGAAUUAGCCGAAUUCGAUCCAGAAAGAAUGAGCUUCUGUUUGCGGAGAUUGAAUACAUGCAGAAAAGGGAAAUUGAACUGCACAAUAACAACCAGCUGAUACGAGCAAAGAUAGCAGAGACAGAGAGAAGCCAACAAAACACAAGUGCAAAUAAUGCAAUAGCAGGAAGAGGGAGAGGAGAGCAAGGAUCUGUGGCUCCAAAUUUAGAGGUUAAUCAUAAUAAUCAAUAUGACCCAGCAAAUUACUUUCCCCAUCAUAAUCAUCAUAUCUCUCUGCAACUUGUGUGAGCAGCUCAUUUCUUCUUCAACUUGAACCAUUUUAAAAGGUAGUUAACCAG